rnacentral:rRNA from 1 species
GAUGAACGCUGGCGGCGUGCCUAAUACAUGCAAGUCGAGCGGACCAAAGAGAGCUUGCUCUCUGAGGUUAGCGGCGGACGGGUGAGUAACACGUGGGUAACCUGCCUGUAAGACGGGGAUAACUUCGGGAAACCGAAGCUAAUACCGGAUGAUAAAGAGAAACGCCUGUUUCUUUUUUGAAAGUCGGCCUUGUGCUGACGCUUACAGAUGGGCCCGCGGCGCAGUAGCUAGUUGGUGAGGUAGCGGCUCACCAAGGCGACGAUGCGUAGCCGACCUGAGAGGGUGAUCGGCCACACUGGGACUGAGACACGGCCCAGACUCCUACGGGAGGCAGCAGUAGGGAAUCUUCGGCAAUGGACGAAAGUCUGACCGAGCAACGCCGCGUGAGCGAUGAAGGCCUUCGGGUCGUAAAGCUCUGUUGUCAGAGAAGAACAAGUACCAGAGUAACUGCCGGUACCUUGACGGUACCUGACCAGAAAGCCACGGCUAACUACGUGCCAGCCGCCGCGGUAA